AACGAACGCUGGCGGCAUGCCUAACACAUGCAAGUCGAACGAGAUCUUCGGGUCUAGUGGCGCACGGGUGCGUAACGCGUGGGAAUCUGCCCUUUGGUUCGGAAUAACAGUUGGAAACGACUGCUAAUACCGGAUGAUGACGAAAGUCCAAAGAUUUAUCGCCAGAGGAUGAGCCCGCGUAGGAUUAGCUAGUUGGUGUGGUAAAGGCGCACCAAGGCGACGAUCCUUAGCUGGUCUGAGAGGAUGAUCAGCCACACUUGGACUGAGACACGGCCCAGACUCCUACGGGAGGCAGCAGUGGGGAAUAUUGGACAAUGGGCCAAAGCCUGAUCCAGCAAUGCCGCGUGAGUGAUGAAGGCCUUAGGGUUGUAAAGCUCUUUUACCCGGGAUGAUAAUGACAGUACCGGGAGAAUAAGCUCCGGCUAACUCCGUGCCAGCAGCCGCCGUAA
rnacentral:rRNA from 1 species